rnacentral:rRNA from 1 species
AGGACGAACGCUGGCGGCGUGCUUAACACAUGCAAGUCGAGCGGAAAGGCCCUUCGGGGUACUCGAGCGGCGAACGGGUGAGUAACACGUGAGCAACCUGCCCUUAGCUUCGGGAUAGCUCCGGGAAACCGGAAUUAAUACCGAAUAUGACUUUGGCUGACAUCAGCAGAAGUGGAAAGUUUUUCGGCUAGGGAUGGACUCGCGGCCUAUCAGCUAGUUGGUGAGGUAACGGCCCACCAAGGCGACGACGGGUAGCCGGCCUGAGAGGGCGACCGGCCACACUGGGACUGAGACACGGCCCAGACUCCUACGGGAGGCAGCAGUGGGGAAUAUUGCGCAAUGGGCGAAAGCCUGACGCAGCGACGCCGCGUGGGGGAUGAAUGCCGUUCGGGUUGUAAACCCCUUUCAGCGAGGGACGAAGCGAAAGUGACGGUACCUGCAGAAGAAGCGCCGGCUAACUACGCGCCAGCAGCCGC